rnacentral:rRNA from 1 species
GAUGAACGCUAGCGGCAGGCUUAAUACAUGCAAGUCGAGGGGCAGCACGGUUAGCAAUAACUGGUGGCGACCGGCGCACGGGUGCGUAACACGUAUACAAUCUACCUUAAACAGGGGGAUAGCCUUUCGAAAGAGAGAUUAAUACCCCGUAAUAAAUUGAACGGCAUCGUUUGAUUUUGAAAGUUCCGGCGGUUUGAGAUGAGUAUGCGUCUGAUUAGCUAGUUGGUGAGGUAACGGCCCACCAAGACGAUGAUCAGUAGGGGAACUGAGAGGUUGAUCCCCCACACUGGCACUGAGAUACGGGCCAGACUCCUACGGGAGGCAGCAGUAGGGAAUAUUGGUCAAUGGAUGGAAGUCUGAACCAGCCAUGCCGCGUGCAGGAAGAAGGCCUUCUGGGUUGUAAACUGCUUUUGCCAGGGGAUAGAAUGACCUUGCGAGGUUAAUGAAGGUACCUGGUGAAUAAGCCACGGCUAACUACGUGCCAGCAGCCGCGGU